UACGUAGGUCCCGAGCGUUGUCCGGAUUUAUUGGGCGUAAAGGGCGUGUAGGCGGGGACGCAAGUCAGAUGUGAAAACCACGGGCUCAACCUGUGGCCUGCAUUUGAAACUGUGUUUCUUGAGUACUGGAGAGGCAGACGGAAUUCCUAGUGUAGCGGUGAAAUGCGUAGAUAUUAGGAGGAACACCAGUGGCGAAGGCGGUCUGCUGGACAGCAACUGACGCUGAGGCGCGAAAGCGUGGGGAGCAAACAGG
rnacentral:rRNA from 1 species